rnacentral:rRNA from 1 species
CUCCUACGGGAGGCAGCAGUGGGGAAUUUUGGACAAUGGGCGAAAGCCUGGUCCAGCCAUGCCGCGUGAGUGAAGAAGGCCUUCGGGUUGUAAAGCUCUUUCAGUUGGGAAGAAACGAUUGCAACUAAUAAUUGUAAUUAAUGACGGUACCGACAGAAGAAGCACCGGCUAACUACGUGCCAGCGCCGCGGUAA